CAUCCUCCAAGGCUAAAUACUCCUGACUGACCGAUAGUGAACCAGUACCGUGAGGGAAAGGCGAAAAGAACCCCGGCGAGGGGAGUGAAAUAGAACCUGAAACCGUGUACGUACAAGCAGUGGGAGCCUACUUGUUAGGUGACUGCGUACCUUUUGUAUAAUGGGUCAGCGACUUAUAUUCUGUAGCAAGGUUAACCGAAUAGGGGAGCCGCAGGGAAACCGAGUCUUAACUGGGCGUUAAGUUGCAGGGUAUAGACCCGAAACCCGGUGAUCUAGCCAUGGGCAGGUUGAAGGUUGGGUAACACUAACUGGAGGACCGAACCGACUAAUGUUGAAAAAUUAGCGGAUGACUUGUGGCUGGGGGUGAAAGGCCAAUCAAACCGGGAGAUAGCUGGUUCUCCCCGAAAGCUAUUUAGGUAGCGCCUCGUGAACUCAUCUUCGGGGGUAGAGCACUGUUUCGGCUAGGGGGUCAUCCCGACUUACCAACCCGAUGCAAACUACGAAUACCGAAGAAUGUUAUCACGGGAGACACACGGCGGGUGCUAACGUUCGUCGUGAAGAGGGAAACAACCCAGACCGCCAGCUAAGGUCCCAAAGUCAUGGUUAAGUGGGAAACGAUGUGGGAAGGCACAGACAGCCAGGAUGUUGGCUUAGAAGCAGCCAUCAUUUAAAGAAAGCGUAAUAGCUCACUGGUCGAGUCGGCCUGCGCGGAAGAUGUAACGGGGCUAAACCAUGCACCGAAGCUGCGGCAGCGACGCUUAGGCGUUGUUGGGUAGGGGAGCGUUCUGUAAGCCGUUGAAGGUGGCCUGUGAGGGUUGCUGGAGGUAUCAGAAGUGCGAAUGCUGACAUAAGUAACGAUAAUGCGGGUGAAAAACCCGCACGCCGGAAGACCAAGGGUUCCUGUCCAACGUUAAUCGGGGCAGGGUGAGUCGACCCCUAAGGCGAGGCUGAAAAGCGUAGUCGAUGGGAAACAGGUUAAUAUUCCUGUACUCGGUGUUACUGCGAAGGGGGGACGGAGAAAGCUAGGUUAUCCGGGCGACGGUUGUCCCGGUUUAAGCGUGAAGGUGGGUGACUUAGGUAAAUCCGGGUCAUCGUUAACACUGAGGCGUGAUGACGAGUCACUACGGUGAUGAAGUAACCAAUGCUACGCUUCCAGGAAAAGCCUCUAAGCUCCAGGUAACAUCAAAUCGUACCCCAAACCGACACAGGUGGUCAGGUAGAGAAUACUCAGGCGCUUGAGAGAACUCGGGUGAAGGAACUAGGCAAAAUGGUGCCGUAACUUCGGGAGAAGGCACGCUGGCGCGUAGGUGAAGUCCCUUGCGGAUGGAGCUGAAGCCAGUCGCAGAUACCAGCUGGCUGCAACUGUUUAAUAAAAACACAGCACUGUGCAAACACGAAAGUGGACGUAUACGGUGUGACGCCUGCCCGGUGCCGGAAGGUUAAUUGAUGGGGUCAGCCGCAAGGCGAAGCUCUUGAUCGAAGCCCCGGUAAACGGCGGCCGUAACUAUAACGGUCCUAAGGUAGCGAAAUUCCUUGUCGGGUAAGUUCCGACCUGCACGAAUGGCGUAAUGAUGGCCAGGCUGUCUCCACCCGAGACUCAGUGAAAUUGAACUCGCUGUGAAGAUGCAGUGUACCCGCGGCAAGACGGAAAGACCCCGUGAACCUUUACUAUAGCUUGACACUGAACCUUGAGCCUUGAUGUGUAGGAUAGGUGGGAGGCUUUGAAGUGUGGACGCCAGUCUGCAUGGAGCCAACCUUGAAAUACCACCCUUUAAUGUUUGAUGUUCUAACGUAGGCCCGUGAUCCGGGUUGCGGACAGUGUCUGGUGGGUAGUUUGACUGGGGCGGUCUCCUCCCAAAGCGUAACGGAGGAGCACGAAGGUUAGCUAAUCCUGGUCGGACAUCAGGAGGUUAGUGCAAAGGCAUAAGCUAGCUUGACUGCGAGAGUGACAGCUCGAGCAGGUGCGAAAGCAGGUCUUAGUGAUCCGGUGGUUCUGAAUGGAAGGGCCAUCGCUCAACGGAUAAAAGGUACUCCGGGGAUAACAGGCUGAUACCGCCCAAGAGUUCAUAUCGACGGCGGUGUUUGGCACCUCGAUGUCGGCUCAUCACAUCCUGGGGCUGAAGUAGGUCCCAAGGGUAUGGCUGUUCGCCAUUUAAAGUGGUACGCGAGCUGGGUUUAGAACGUCGUGAGACAGUUCGGUCCCUAUCUGCCGUGGGCGUUGGAAGAUUGAGAGGGGUUGCUCCUAGUACGAGAGGACCGGAGUGAACGCACCACUGGUGUACGGGUUGUGAUGCCAAUUGCAUUGCCCGGUAGCUAAGUGCGGAAGAGAUAACCGCUGAAAGCAUCUAAGCGGGAAACUUGCCUCGAGAUGAGUCUUCCCUGGACACUUGA
rnacentral:rRNA from 1 species